CCCCUAGAUGUUCUGGGCCGCACGAGCGCUACACUGAACAGUUCAACAAGUCUUAACCUUGGCCGAUAGGUCUGGGUAAUCUUUGAACGCUGUUCGUGAUUGGGAUAGACCUUUGCAAUUAUGGGUCUUCAACGAGGAAUUCCUAGUAAACGCAAGUCAUCAGCUUGCAUUGAUUACGUCCCUGCCCUUUGUACACACCGCCCGUCGCACCUACCGAUUGAAUGGUCCGGUGAAAUCUCGGGACGGCGGCUUGGUCGCUUGCGUCCGACUGCUGAAACUUGAUUAAACCAUAUCAUUUAGAGGAAGGUGAANUCGUAACA
rnacentral:rRNA from 1 species